rnacentral:rRNA from 1 species
UUAAACUAAGAAUAUAAGGGUAGAGCUUUAUAUUCAAUAAUUAAUUGAAGAUGAAUAAAUAAUUUGUUUAUUUAAAAAUUAGGCUUUUUAGUGGCCAUAUUUUUAAAGUUUUAUAACUAUUAAAAUAAAAAAAAAUUUAUAUUUUUAUUCUCUUAUAAAAUUUAUUAGAAUAUAAUUUUUAUUAAAAUUUAAUUAGGGAUAAUGAAAAUAUUAGUAGAAUAAAAUAUGAAGUUUAAAAAAUAAAUUUGUUUAUGGUUUUUAAAUAAAAUAAAAGGAAAAUUAAAGGAAUUCGGCAAAUUUUUUUCUUGCCUGUUUAACAAAAACAUGUCUAUAUGAAGUUAUAUAAAGUCUGGCCUGCCCAUUGAAGAGAUUUAAAAGGCCGCGGUAUAUUAACUGUGCAAAGGUAGCAUAAUCAUUAGCUUUUUAAUUGAAGGCUUGUAUGAAGGGUCUGACAAAGGAAAAGCUGUCUUUAGUUUUAAUUUUGAAUUUGACUUUUAAGUGAAAAGGCUUAGUUGAAUUUAAGGGACGAUAAGACCCUAUAAAUCUUUAUAUUAUAUUAUUGUAUUAAAAUAUUAAUUGAUUGUCUAGAUUAAUAAAUAAAAUGAUAAAUAUUUUGUUGGGGUGAUGAGAAUAUAAAAUUAACUGUUCUAAAAAAAAACAAAGUUGUUUGUUUAAAUAUUAAUAGAUCCUUUAUAGAGAUUUAAAGUUAAAGUUACUUUAGGGAUAACAGCGUUAUUUUUUUUGAGAGUUCUUAUCGAAAAAAAAGUUUGCGACCUCGAUGUUGAAUUAAAAUUUCCCUAUGGUGUAGAAGUUAUAGGAGAAAGUCUGUUCGACUUUUGAAAUUUU